rnacentral:rRNA from 1 species
CGCGUAGGCGGUCUCUUAAGUCAGAUGUGAAAGCCCGGGGCUUAACCUCGGAAGUGCAUUUGAAACUAAGGGACUUGAGUAUGGGAGAGGGAAGUGGAAUUCCUGGUGUAGCGGUGAAAUGUGUAGAUAUCAGGAGGAACACCGGUGGCGAAGGCGACUUCCUGGACCAAUACUGACGCUGAGGCGCGAAGGCGUGGGGAGCAAACAGGAUUAGAUACCCUGGUAGUCC